CUAUGCCGCGUGUGUGAAGAAGGCCUUCGGGUUGUAAAGCACUUUUGUUCGGGAAGAAAUUCGUCGGGCUAAUACCCUGGCGGGAUGACGGUACCGGAAGAAUAAGCACCGGCUAACUACGUGCCAGCAGCCGCGGUAAUACGUAGGGUGCGAGCGUUAAUCGGAAUUACUGGGCGUAAAGCGUGCGCAGGCGGUUUCGUAAGACAGAUGUGAAAUCCCCGGGCUUAACCUGGGAAUUGCAUUUGUGACUGCGAGACUAGAGUGUGUCAGAGGGAGGUGGAAUUCCGCGUGUAGCAGUGAAAUGCGUAGAGAUGCGGAGGAACACCGAUGGCGAAGGCAGCCUCCUGGGAUAACACUGACGCUCAUGCACGAAAGCGUGGGGAGCAAACAGGAUUAGAUACCCUGGUAGUCCACGCCCUAAACGAUGUCUACUGGUUGUCGGGGAUUCAUUUCCUUGGUAACGCAGCUAACGCGUGAAGUAGACCGCCUGAGGAGUACGGCCGCAAGGUUAAAACUCAAACGAAUUGACGGGGACCCGCACAAGCGGUGGAUGAUGUGGAUUAAUUCGAUGCAACGCGAAAAACCUUACCUACGCUUGACAUGCCAGGAACUUUCCAGAGAUGGAUUGGUGCCCGAAAGGGG
rnacentral:rRNA from 1 species